rnacentral:rRNA from 1 species
AGUUUGAUAUGGCUCAGGAUGAACGCUAGCGGCAGGCUUAAUACAUGCAAGUCGAGGGGCAGCACGGGUAGCAAUACCUGGUGGCGACCGGCAAACGGGUGCGGAACACGUACGCAACCUUCCCAAAACUGGUAAAUAGCCCUCCGAAAGGAGGAUUAAUACACCGUAAUAUAAUUUGAUGGCAUCAUUAGAUUAUUAUAGCUCCGGCGGUUUUGGAUGGGCGUGCGCCUGAUUAGGUAGUUGGUAGGGUAACGGCCUACCAAGCCAACGAUCAGUAACUGGUGUGGGAGCACGACCAGUCACACGGGCACUGAGACACGGGCCCGACUCCUACGGGAGGCAGCAGUAAGGAAUAUUGGUCAAUGGACGCAAGUCUGAACCAGCCAUGCCGCGUGCAGGAUGAAGGCCCUCUGGGUUGUAAACUGCUUUUAUGGGGGACGAAAAAAGGGCAUUCUUGCUCACUUGACGGUACCCUAGGAAUAAGCACCGGCUAACUCCGUGCCAGCAGCCGCGGUAAUACGGAGGGUGCAAGCGUUAUCCGGAUUUACUGGGUUUAAAGGGUGCGUAGGUGGGUAGGUAAGUCAGUGGUGAAAUCUUCGAGCUUAACUCGGAAACUGCCAUUGAUACUAUUUAUCUUGAAUACUUUGGAGGUAAGCGGAAUAUGUCAUGUAGCGGUGAAAUGCUUAGAUAUGACAUAGAACACCAAUUGCGAAGGCAGCUUACUACAC